GAUGAAGGACGUAGCGAAAUGCGAUAAGUAGUGUGAAUUGCAGAAUUCAGUGAAUCAUCGAAUCUUUGAACGCACAUUGCGCCCCUUGGUAUUCCAUGGGGCAUGCCUGUUCGAGCGUCAUUUGUACCUUCAAGCUCUGCUUGGUGUUGGGUGUUUGUCUCGCCUCUGCGUGUAGACUCGCCUCAAAACAAUUGGCAGCCGGCGUAUUGAUUUCGGAGCGCAGUACAUCUCGCGCUUUGCACUCAUAACGACGACGUCCAAAAGUACAUUUUUACACUCUUGACCUCGGAUCAGGUAGGGAUACCCGCUGAACUUAAGCAUAUCAAUAAGCGGAGGA
rnacentral:misc_RNA from 1 species